AUAGUCGUUACAUUUUUUAAAUUAUUCUUAUUUCUUUUUAAAUUUUACUCCUCUGCUUUCAAUAUUUCCAUGUUGUAUCCACACUUGUCUUGCUUCUUUCUCCUUCAUUAAAUUUUUGUAGCCAUCCAUUCUCUCUCAACAUUUCACGCUCUUUUCCCUUCUCGUUUUUUCGUACACGUAAACAUAUCCAUUCCCGCGCAACACGUGCAUGUGACUAAACGUCGCCACCACGAAAUCUCCUCGUAUUUUCGUGGCAACAUUAUCUUCUAUUCACCUCAGAAAAGAAGGAUAGAGAUGUCCAUUAUACCUUCCGCACGUAUACGUAUAAUAAACGCAAGCAUUCAUCUAAGCGCCACCUAGCGCUGAAGCAUGAAAAAAAGAAGAAGCGAAACUAAUUUUGACAUAGCCAACUUUUCUACCUUAGUUUCCUAUUCGAAGUUCAGUUAUAAUUUAACGUGAUACAGUGUUAAGAGGAUGGAUAAAGUCGAUGAAAGUGCGAAUCGGAGAGCAGUAUUUUAAACUGACCUGGAUUUUCUGUUUCUCCCGAUAGAAGGAACAUCUCGUGUGAUGCUACUAACCUUCUCUCGACCAGUGAUCGAUAUUCAAAUGAAAUUCCACAAGUAGAUCGAAAAGAGGAGCAAUAUACAGUUUACGAAUAAAGACGACAUAACCUAAAUCAGUCAGUACUGCAAUUGCGACAAUGCCGAUGGCUGUGAAUCGCGGAAGGAGGACGACAGACGACCAUGCCUGACGACAGGAAUAUAGAAGAAAAGAACGAAAAGGAAAGGAAACGUGAAAAGCAAAACUGCAAGUGCUUCAAAAUCUAUGCAAUCACGGUUAUCGCUGUUUGUUCACUUCCGUCGUGUUUCAAAAGCGAAAAAUUGCGAUCGAGAUCAAAGAGGCACUUUGAUUGACAGAAUGAAUAAGUGCACAGUCAUUUUUUUUUCUUCUUCCUUUUUCCGACCAAUGGGAAAUUUUAAUACACCGAAGGGAAAAUGAUUCGAACAAGUUUGAACAAUUUUUAAAAUAUCGCA